rnacentral:lncRNA from 1 species
CCAAAAUCAAUCUCUUUCCUCAAACUUAUCCCCACUGUUUUAUUUUCUAUAUAUAUGUUGUUAGAAUUUGAGUUGUUUGAUUUCUAGAUAUGGUUUGUAUAGUUCUUCCUUCAAUUCCUUCACAUCCUCUCUUUAUGUUUCGUGAGUUUUCUGGGCUUGAUGAACCAUUGUUCUACCUAUGAGAUUAAUAUUAAAGGUGUUAAACAAUGAGGAUGAAGGUUGAUUUUCUGGGUUAAUUAUUGUUUUACCAUUGUUGUUGCUGUUGUUGAAUUAUCGCCAAGAUGAAAGGGGCGUUGCCGGCAGUGGCUGCAGCGGAGGUUAGCGGGAUGAUGAAUGAAGAAGAUGGAGAGACACACUGAUUGCGCGCUUUCCUUCUUUAAUUUGUGUUGUUUUUAAUUUUUAAUUAUUUAAUAUAGUCUUUAAUUUCCAACCAUCAGAUUUAUUAUUGCCACAUGUCUUCAAUCUAUGAAAAGAAAAGGAGAAAAAGGAGCCUUAGAAAAAGGAGCAAAGCUGCUCUCCC